rnacentral:rRNA from 1 species
AAUAGAUACCCGGGUAGUCCAUGCCGUAAACGUUGGGCGCUAGAUGUGGGGACCAUUCCACGGUUUCCGUGUCGCAGCUAACGCAUUAAGCGCCCCGCCUGGGGAGUACGGCCGCAAGGCUAAAACUCAAAGGAAUUGACGGGGGCCCGCACAAGCGGCGGAGCAUGCGGAUUAAUUCGAUGCAACGCGAAGAACCUUACCAAGGCUUGACAUAAUACGAGAACGCUCUAGAAAUAGAGUAACUCUUUGGACACUCGUAUACAGGCGGUGCAUGGUUGUCGUCAGCUCGUGUCGUGAGAUGUUGGGUUAAGUCCCGCAACGAGCGCAACCCUCGUUCUAUGUUGCCAGCGGUUCGGCCGGGAACUCAUAGGAGACUGCCGGGGUCAACUCGGAGGAAGGUGGGGAUGACGUCAAAUCAUCAUGCCCCUUAUGUCUUGGGCUUCACGCAUGCUACAAUGGCCGGUACAAAGGGCUGCAAUACCGUAAGGUGGAGCGAAUCCCAAAAAGCCGGUCUCAGUUCGGAUUGAGGU